rnacentral:rRNA from 1 species
UACAGAGGGGGCAAGCGUUAUUCGGAAUUAUUGGGCGUAAAGGGCGCGUAGGCGGCUUUGCAAGUGACGGGUGAAAGCCCUCGGCUUAACCGAGGAACUGCCUGUCAGACUGGAUGGCUUGAGACCGGGAGAGGUGAGUGGAAUUCCACGUGUAGCGGUGAAAUGCGUAGAGAUGUGGAGGAACACCAGUGGCGAAGGCGACUCUCUGGUCUGUAACUGACGCUGAGGCGCGAAAGCGUGGGGAGCAAACAGG